UACGUAGGGUGCGAGCGUUAAUCGGAAUUACUGGGCGUAAAGCGUGCGCAGGCGGUGAUGUAAGACCGAUGUGAAAUCCCCGGGCUUAACCUGGGAACUGCAUUGGUGACUGCAUUGCUGGAGUAUGGCAGAGGGGGGUGGAAUUCCACGUGUAGCAGUGAAAUGCGUAGAGAUGUGGAGGAACACCGAUGGCGAAGGCAGCCCCCUGGGCCAAUACUGACGCUCAUGCACGAAAGCGUGGGGAACAAACAGG
rnacentral:rRNA from 1 species